rnacentral:lncRNA from 1 species
CUUUUGCCACAUCAUAAUCACACAUGCAAGAUAUAUAUGUAUCAUAUUAAUCACACUAUACUAUUAUCAACAAUAUGUGACCAAAAUUCUUCACCUGAAACUCAUCAGAAAACAUGAGAAAUAUGAUAAGAGAGAGAGAGAGAGAAAAGGAUCAUACCAAGUUAAAAACUAAGAGGUAGAGGUUGAUAAAGCUUUAUGAUCACCAAAAUAGAAGAAUUUCACACCGAAAUGGCAAAACCUGAGCAGAAGAGCGAUUUUGCAGCUUUCCCUUUUUUUCCCAUCUGUUUUAGAUCUGGAAACUGAAUGCAGACUAUAAAGUGUGUUCACUUAGGCGACGAAACAUUUGUGUUGCAUAAGUAACCACUUUCGUCGCCUAAGAUAAACUUAUGCGGCGAAAUAAUAUGUUUGUCGCCUAAGUGGUUCAUAGUUUAGGCGGCGAAACCAUCUUCGUUGACUGAAGAUAUACUAUGGCGACGAAAGUGGUACGAGUCCUUCUUUUGUCUCCUUGGUAAUCUAAGGCGACCAACCAAAUAAUGAUUCGUCACCUAAGUUAUUUUAGGCGACGAAUGAAGUUUUCGACGCCUAACUGCUUACCUAGGCAACGAAAAAGUUUUCGUCGCCGUGUUUUCGUCGCCUAAGUCCUUUAUUCUAGUAGUGAAAUCAUCAUCGUAGUUAGCUAUGUUAUGGGUAAAAAGGGAAAGUCAUUUUUAUUAAUAAAUGUACAAGUAUAAAAGAUAGAUGAUUGUAUUUUUGUGAUGAUCAAUAUACGAAGCUCUUUCUCUUUCUGAGUUUACCUUCUUCUUCUUCAUCUUCUUCACUCGUCUUUAUUUCAUGGCAUCAGAGCCCCAAGUUGCGACCUAGGAGGACUAAUCUCUGUGUUUUCCGGUAGCUUUUUCUGACGUCACUUCAUAUCAAAGCUCCGGUUCUGCAUCUCAGAUAAGAAUCUUGAUUUUUCUUUGAAGAAGAAACUCUUCAAUUUGUUUUCUGCUGCUCUCGUAGUGUUAAUCAUGCUCUUUUGAUUCUAUACAUAGUCAUCGAAGCUUUGGAUUUGUGUUUUGAGUACUCUGAAACUGAUUAAAGCAAGUUAUUCAUGGAGAUUGUUAAAGAUUGAGGAAAAGUAGAAAUCCUAGAAUUUUGGGUAUUUUAGUUUGAGGUUCUCUUUGUUCUGAUUUAGGCUUCUUCUAGAAUUUGGUUGAUAAUUGAUGAAAAUUGGUGAAAGUAAGAACUUGAACAUGAUGUAUGGUCAAGAAAAUUGAUGGAGCAGUGCUAUUAUGAUUGUUCGUGUUAAUAAAGGAUAAUUCAAGUUUGGGUGUUGUUUGCUUGUAGUUACGGUAGAUAGAGAUAUUGAUGGUGGAAAAGAUUGUUACUUAAAAUUGCUAAUCAAUGAAGAUGGCGUUCAAGGCAUGAUUGCAGCAGAGUGGUAUUCAUUUUGGUCAGUAUUGAUUCUUUAAGGUGUGCCUUUGAAGUGUGCCUAUCAAUAGUGUUUUGAACACUUUGGGAUACAGAGUUAUGCAUUGAUGUUCAUUUUACAUCAUUAGUGUACAAUUAAUCUUCAUCUUAGCUUGGGAGAAGUAUUUGGGAAUGAGAAUGUGAAUGAGAAAGAAAGUUGAAACAGAAGAACUGUACUAUGAAGAUCUAUGAGUCUACUUCAGGUUCUUUUACAAUUAUCUCUUGCAUCAUGGAUAAUACCAUAGUGUUACAAAGUUGUCUACUUUCCAAUUUCUACAAUCGAAUUACAGUUCAACUAAAUGAUAGUAAUUACGUCUCUUGGAGAUUUAUGCUAGAGUCUAUGUUGUUAGGAUGUGACCUUAUGGGGUAUAUUGAUGGAUCUAUUCCUUGUCCUUCACAAUACAAGAUCACAAAAGAGGGUAAUAUUACCUCAGAUCGAGCUUACACAAGAGUAUAAGGAUUGGAGGAAGAAUGACUCAGCUUUAAUGGCGUUAUUAGCUGGUACUUUGUCCCAUAAUGCUCUUUUCUUUAUUGUUGGGAGCAAAACUUCAAAAGAAUGUAUGGUUUUCUCUUUAUGAAAGGUAAAGUUCAAAGCUUUUAAGCUCCAAACCUCAAUACAGAAAAUUCAGAAAGGUAAAGAUAGUAUUGACAAGUAUAUGGAACGUUUCAAAACUGUUCGGGACCAACUUUCUGUUUGCUGGAAUUCAUAUUCUUGAUGAUGAUGUAGUAACCUUUAUCUUGAAUGGCUUACCUGCUGCUUUUACAACCUUCAAGAUUGUCAUCAGAGCUCAAAAGACUCCAAUAUCUCUAACCUAGCUUCGUACACUUUUGUUGGAUUUUGAGUCUAACAUCGUUCAAGAAUCGAGUUCUCUUGCUUCUACUCCCAUGCCUAUAUCUGUUGAGAACCAAUCUUCUGGUACGGAUUCGAGUUCUCUUGUUUCAGCUCCCGUGACCAAAUCUCUUGAGAACCAAUCUCCUGGUACACAUCUUACCACUCAACUUACUUAUGUACCUCAGCAUAUUGUUCUGCCUAACAAUAUGAACCACGUUGCAUCUGCUUUUACUAUGAAUCCUACAUAUUCUGUUAAUGCCACGAUGCAAAAUGGAAACUUUGGGGUACCUCUUAUGUCAAAUUAUGGUCAUCAUAUGGUGACAUCUACUCUCAAUUUAUCUGCUGGUUCCAUUGUUUACCUUAAUGGUUCGAAUGUCGUUCCAACAAAUGAAGUUGUGUACAACUGUGGAACUUCUUAGCCAAACACUGGUCUUAUCCACCAAAUUGGUACACAUCCUUCUACUCAAGUUGCUCAGCCAGUUGGGUAUUGUAACUCCACUGUUGGUAUUUUGACCAAAGAAGAAGAGCUAGAAUUCAUUAUCAGAAUGGUAGGUGGAAUUGUUACAGGAAUCAAAAUAAUGGCUACACUCAAGUCAUAACUUCUAGUUUAAAUGAUAAGUCAGAGAUCAGUAACACCCUUGAUGCUUGUCAAAUAUGCAACAACAAGGGUCACACUGCUCAAGUAUGUUCCCAACGAUCAUGUCCUAGGCAAGUAGUUGCUUUUGGGUUUUCUUUGCAAUGCUAGAUAUGCUUCAAGAGGGGUCACAGUGUAGCUGAGUGUUUUCAUAGGCAUCACUAUAUAUGAUUUUCAGUCACCAUCUUGUUCAAAAUUCCACGAUAAAGCUGCUUCCUUCUCUUGUCAACCAAGCUCAUGUUUAUCUUCUCAAUUUGUGUCGCUUAUUCCUCCUGGCUGAAGAAAGCAUCUUCAAUCUUAUCAUAAUCACAACAUUUUUUUUGUUUACUGUUGCAAUCUGAUGUUAGUUUUCCCUACCAUCAGCUUGACGGGGGAUGUUAAGGGUAAAAAAGGGAAGUCACUUUUAUUAAUAAAUAUACAAGUAUAAAAGAUAGAUGAUUGUAUUUUUGUGAUGAUCAAUAUACGAAGCUCUUUCUUUUUCUGAGUUUACCUUCUUCUUCUUCAUCUUCUUCACUCGUC